rnacentral:rRNA from 1 species
GGACUUCGGUCUGGUGGCGAGUGGCGAACGGGUGAGUAAUAUAUCGGAACGUGCCCAGUCGUGGGGGAUAACGUAGUGAAAAUUACGCUAAUACCGCAUACGGUCUAAGGAUGAAAGCGGGGGAUCGCAAGACCUCGCGCGAUUGGAGCGGCCGAUAUCAGAUUAGGUAGUUGGUGAGGUAAAGGCUCACCAAGCCAACGAUCUGUAGCUGGUCUGAGAGGACGACCAGCCACACUGGAACUGAGACACGGUCCAGACUCCUACGGGAGGCAGCAGUGGGGAAUUUUGGACAAUGGACGCAAGUCUGAUCCAGCCAUUCCGCGUGCAGGACGAAGGCCUUCGGGUUGUAAACUGCUUUUGUACAGAACGAAAAGGUCUCUAUUAAUACUAGGGGCUCAUGACGGUACUGUAAGAAUAAGCACCGGCUAACUACGUGCCAGCAGCCGCGGUAAUACGUAGGGUGCAAACGUUAAUCGGAUUUACUGGGCGUAAAGCGUGCGCAGGCGGUUAUAUAAGACAGAUGUGAAAUCCCCGGGCUCAACCUGGGAACUGCAUUUGUGACUGUAUAGCUGGAGUGCGGCAGAGGGGGAUGGAAUUCCGCGUGUAGCAGUGAAAUGCGUAGAUAUGCGGAGGAACACCGAUGGCGAAGGCAAUCCCCUGGGCCUGCACUGACGCUCAUGCACGAAAGCGUGGGGAGCAA